rnacentral:pre_miRNA from 1 species
UAAGACAUGCUGUCCAUAGUGUGUUUGAUAAGCCGACAUGGGACAGGGACUCUUUUCACUGUUGUGUCAGUUUAUCAAACCCAUACCUGGACGAC